rnacentral:rRNA from 1 species
AACGAACGCUGGCGGCGUGGAUUAGGCAUGCAAGUCGAACGCGAAAGAGGGAGCAAUCCCUCGAGUAGAGUGGCGAACGGGUGAGUAACGCGUGAAGAACCUGCCUUCAACAGGGGGAUAACACUCCCAACGGGGUGCUAAUACCGCAUGAGACCACGGGGUCGCAUGGCCCUGAGGUCAAAGGUGGCCUCUAUUUAUAAGCUACCGGUUGAAGAUGGCUUCGCGUCCCAUUAGCAGUUGGCGGUGUAAAAGACCACCAAGGCGACGAUGGGUAGCUGGUCUGAGGAGGAUGGUCAGCCACACUGGGACUGAGAUACGGCCCAGACUCCUACGGGAGGCAGCAGUCGAGAGGCUUUGGCAAGUGGGGAAACCCUGACCAAGCGACGCCGCGUGGAGGAUGAAGGCCC